GCGAUCAUACUAUUAUUAAUGCAUUGGAUGUCAUUAGAACUCCAAAGUUAAACAUACUUGGGUAAGAGUAAUACCAAAAUGGGUGACCCCUGAAAAAUCAUCGUAUUACACCCC